rnacentral:rRNA from 1 species
GAUGAACGCUGGCGGCGUGCCUAAUACAUGCAAGUCGAGCGAAUGGAUUAAGAGCUUGCUCUUAUGAAGUUAGCGGCGGACGGGUGAGUAACACGUGAGCAACCUGCCCAUAAGACUGGGAUAACUCCGGGAAACCGGGGCUAAUACCGGAUAAUAUUUUGAACUGCAUGGUUCAAAAUUGAAAGGCGGCUUCGGCUGUCACUUAUGGAUGGACCCGCGUCGCAUUAGCUAGUUGGUGAGGUAACGGCUCACCAAGGCAACGAUGCGUAGCCGACCUGGGAGGGUGAUCGGCCACACUGGGACUGAGACACGGCCCAGACUCCUACGGGAGGCAGCAGUAGGGAAUCUUCCGCAAUGGACGAAAGUCUGACGGAGCAACGCCGCGUGAGUGAUGAAGGCUUUCGGGUCGUAAAACUCUGUUGUUAGGGAAGAACAAGUGCUAGUUGAAUAAGCUGGCACCUUGACGGUACCUAACCAGAAAGCCACGGCUAACUACGUGCCAGCCGCCGCCGUAA